UUGUUGCCCAGGCUGGAGUGCAAAGGUGCAAUGUGGGAAGACCCUGUGUACAAGAAAAACACCACCUGGUUGCUGAACUCAGAGGGAUCCGUCGGUGUGGACUGUACCUUCCUUGCACGAGUUGGGGGCUGGGUGCCGGGUGCCAUCGUGAGUACAGGAAAAAGGCG